rnacentral:rRNA from 1 species
AGAUUGAACGCUGGCGGCAUGCCUAACACAUGCAAGUCGAACGGGAGUAGCAAUACUCUAGUGGCGGACGGGUGAGGAAUACGUAGGAAUUUGCCCUUAAGUGGGGGAUAACCCGGGGAAACCCGGAUUAAUACCGCAUGACCUCGAAAGAGCAAAGUGGGGGAUCGCAAGACCUCACGCUUUUGGAGAAGCCUACGUCGGAUUAGCUAGUUGGUGAGGUAAUGGCUCACCAAGGCGACGAUCCGUAACUGGUCUGAGAGGAUGAUCAGUCACACCGGAACUGAGACACGGUCCGGACUCCUACGGGAGGCAGCAGUGGGGAAUAGUUGGACAAGUGGGCGCAAGCCUGAUCCAGCAAUGCCGCGUGUGUGGAAGAAGGCCUUCGGGUUGUAAAGCGACGUUUAAGUUAGGGAAAGAAAAACGUACGACUACUAAC